UACGUAGGGUGCGAGCGUUAAUCGGAAUUACUGGGCGUAAAGCGCGCGUAGGCGGCUUGGUAAGUCGGAUGUGAAAGCCCUGGGCUCAACCUGGGAACUGCAUUCGAUACUGUCAAGCUAGAGUGUGGGAGAGGGUAGUGGAAUUCCCGGUGUAGCGGUGAAAUGCGUAGAUAUCGGGAGGAACAUCAGUGGCGAAGGCGACUGCCUGGCCCAACACUGACGCUGAGGUGCGAAAGCGUGGGUAGCAAACAGG
rnacentral:rRNA from 1 species